CCCAGGUGGAAUUCGCCACAGGACUUCUGUUGAAUAUUUUGCUGCAUAUGUUUUGGGCCACAGACAUUAGGACUGGACAGACUCACAGGCCAGCCACGGGCUACUGGCCACUAGCCGUUCUGAGUCAGCCAGCACAGCUGACUUGAUUUGGCUCAGAGGUGUAUCCCAUACCAAGGAGGAAGCAUGGUAAGGAGAGGGAGUUUUCUUCUUGGACUUCUGCUCUGCUCCUCUUCCUGCUCUUCAGGAUUGCUUUCCUGUUUAGUGAGACUGCUGCAUCCUUGCUGUGCUGAAAACAGCUUUAUAUUGUUUGUGUUGAUGUUGGUACCAGCUUGGCUAUUUUGUUAAAUAUGUUUUCACUUGAACCUGUGGCUCUUCAUUACUUUUCCUGAUCGUUCUUUCCUGGGGAGGUGUCAUAAAGUGAUAGAGUAAACACUCUAUUUUGGCCAUGGAUACAGGCUACACAUACACAAGUGUCUUCUAUUGCAGGAUUAAGAAGAGAAGGGGUUGCUAGAAAUAAAAUAUGAUACAUUUUAAUGUCUUCAUUUCAUAUUAUCUGAAGCCGGUGACAAAGCUGCUGUGUCAUGUGCAGGAUUAGUUGUUUAGAAAGCAUAACUAAGAAUAAGGAUCUUCUUCGGGUGAAUGGUAAAUGCAUAACAGUGAAGACAUAACUUUAUCAUUUUAAAGGAACAUAGGACUCCUGUAAGGAUUAUCACUGCAAAAUUAUGCCUUACUAUUUAAACAUUGCAGACACUAAAAGUCUUCUUAAAAUUGCAGUUUUAACUAUUCAAACCAGUCACAUGAAUUAAUAUGGUGCUUCUACCUCAUUUGACUCAUGUAUUUUUAUGUUUGUUUGUUUGUUUCCUAAGAGCAUAUUGUGCUUUGAAUAUGCAAAUACUUUAAUAUAUGCAGAACAGGGAAGACUUUCAUGUUUAAACUCAAGGCCCUUUUAACAGUGUUCAGUUGAAAAGUGGACCUCAGGUACUGCUGGAAAGCUCCAAGCUCUUCAAUGAAACAUAAUCAUAUUGGAUUUACAUCUUUCUUGGUGCACGCAGAUUGACGUGGCAAAUAUUACGACUGUGAAAUAAAUCAAUUGAUGCAUACACACUUUAUUGCUAAUGAGAAAAUAUUGAUGUGAAAAAUUAUUUAUACUUGGGAUACUAAAACAGAUUUCAUAAGGAAGCCAAAGUAAUUUGUGACUUGGGAUUUGUGUUAAUACUUAAUUCUGGGAUUUAAUCAGCUAUCACUUUUGUCUGGAAGUGUCUUUGGGGAAAACGAUACUUUCAUUCUUGUUCACUUUACCAAUGCUUAGACAAUUCUUAUUUAUAGAAGCUUAAAAAAAAAAAAAAAAAGAAAGCAAUAAUCAUCAUUUACGUUUACCCCCCAAAAAAUUAACUGUUGUUUUUAAUGAAGGGAAAAAAUCCAAGGAGAAAUACGGAUAAUCACUCUUCAUUAUCACUGCAUCUGUACUGCAAGCUUUGUAAAAACAUUUCAAAUACAAUAUGUUCAGCAA